rnacentral:lncRNA from 1 species
AUGAACUUAAGGUAGAAGAAUUAGUAGGUGCACUUCAAACUUAUGAGAUGACUUUUCCUUCUAAUUUGUCUUCUUCCAAGUCUUCGUCUAAAGCUUCAGGGAUGGCUCUAAAGUCAACAAAAGGAGAUGCCACUUCAACCUCAUCGGAUUCGGAGUCGGAGCAAACCCUGGAGGAGUUUGAAAAGCAACUAGCGCUUCUAACGAAGAAGUUCCGUCGGAACUUUAGAAAGAAGUUUCCUCCCAAGACUACUCCUCCAAGUCAAG